rnacentral:lncRNA from 1 species
AUUGAUGGCAUGAACAUGACAUGGUUAUUUUUUUGUAGGUUGGCAUGAUGAACAUGGUUGAAAUCAAGGCAUGACUUGCAAAUGAAGUGAGACAUGGUGGAAACAAGAAAAUAUGGACCUUAAUGAAUUAUGGAAGAAUGGAGGAAUGGAUUAGGGUUUAGGAUGGUCAAAGUUGAUUAGUUGACUUUGGGCAACCAUUUGACCAAAAAGUCAAUAGUUGACCAAAAGUUAACUUAGGUAGAAAAGUCAAUUUUUUUUGUGUAAUCUCUUAUGUAUGGACAUUUGUAAUGAAAUAAGCAUUUGGUGAAUGGAAAUGAUAUUUGAAUGAAAUUUAUUGUUAAUUAAA